GACGAACGCUGGCGGCGUGCCUAAUACAUGCAAGUCGAACGCAGUGGGGACGGGUGAGUAACACGUGGGUAACCUCCCAUCAGAGGGGAUAACACUUGGAAAAAGGUGCUAAACCGAUACUGAUGGAUGGACCCGCGGGGCAUUAGCCAGUUGGGGAGGUAACGGCUCACCAAGGCCACGAUGCAUAGCCGGCCUGAGAGGGUGACCAGCCACACGGGAACUGAGACACGGCCCAGACUCCUACGGGAGGCAGCAGUGGGGAAUAUUGGGCAAUGGGCGCAAGUCUGAUCGAGCAAUGCCGCGUGAGUGAAGAAGGUUUUCGGAUCGUAAAACUCUGUUGUUAGAGAAGCGGUAUCUAACGAGGAAGCCACGGCUAACUACGUGCCAGCCGCCGCGGUAAUAC
rnacentral:rRNA from 1 species